ACUGCAUCCCUAGUAGCGGCGAGCGAAGCGGGAAGAGCUCAAAUUUAUAAUCUGGCACCUUCGGUGUCCGAGUUGUAAUCUCUAGAAAUGUUUUCCGCGCUGGACCGCACACAAGUCUGUUGGAAUACAGCGGCAUAGUGGUGAGACCCCCGUAUAUGGUGCGGACGCCCAGCGCUUUGUGAUACAUUUUCGAAGAGUCGAGUUGUUUGGGAAUGCAGCUCAAAUUGGGUGGUAAAUUCCAUCUAAAGCUAAAUAUUGGCGAGAGACCGAUAGCGAACAAGUACCGUGAGGGAAAGAUGAAAAGCACUUUGGAAAGAGAGUUAACAGUACGUGAAAUUGUUGGAAGGGAAACGCUUGAAGUCAGACUUGCUUGCCGAGCAAUCGGUUUGCAGGCCAGCAUCAGUUUUCCGGGAUGGAUAAUGGUAGAGAGAAGGUAGCAGUUUCGGCUGUGUUAUAGCUCUCUGCUGGAUACAUCUUGGGGGACUGAGGAACGCAGUGUGCCUUUGGCGGGGGUUUCGACCUCUUCACACUUAGGAUGCUGGUGGAAUGGCUUUAAACGACCCGUCUUGAAACMACGGAMCCAA
rnacentral:rRNA from 1 species